rnacentral:lncRNA from 1 species
GCCAGUCUCUUAACCACCUGGAGCCUCAGUUUUCUACCACAUAGGGCAGCUGUGCAGAUUAAAUGAGCUCACAUAUGUGAAGCACUCAGCAUGGGGCAGGAUCCCAGUGAAGCAGGCAGGGCUGCCUGAAUGCCAUGGCAUCUCUGUGUAGGGUGAAGGGCUGGGCAUGGGAGCAGAGGGGUUGGAGUGGAUGGAGAUGAGUGGCGAUUUGGUAUCCUCUCUUUAAAUCCUGAAGGAUGCAAAGAGAAUACCAGGCAGGGUGGGAGGAGCCCCAGGCCCUGACUCAGCCUCUGUCUCUCAGGUCAUCCCCUUCUCCAUCCCCCAUAUAAAGUAUGCUGUCAAACACCUGUUCGAGGGGGGUCUGUUUGCUGAUGGAGGGGCCACCCUUCUGGAGAAGCUUGAGGGGGACAUUGUGGACCCCUGCAUAAAGGGAAUGGUCAACUGGCUCUGCCUGCCAGACCUACUCAAGUGUUUCUUGGCCUGGAUCCUGAAGUACACAGUGAGUAGGGGACCAAGGUGGGGAGGCAUUCAGGAGGGGAGGAGCCCAGGGAGGAGAAGGACUCAGAGAGGAGGAUGGGGCCCAGAGAGUAGUGGGGGCUUAGAGAAGAGGAACCAAAAGGGCUGAUGGGGACCAAAAGAGAGGGGUGCUUUCAGAGAGAGGAGUGCAUCUCAAAAAGAGGAAGCCUUUUCAGAGAGGGAGUGGGGGCCAAGAGGGGGCUCAGGGCUUGUGGAGGAGUAGAAGCUUCCAUGACAGUGUGCUGAGCAGAGUUGCUCUUCUUGGACCCCCAUCCUGGGAAGGCUGGUGUUGCCCUGUGGUUUCUGAAUGGGUUUCUUCCUCUAGGAACCCAGAGCUAGCCAGACUUGUGAAGAGAUUCGUGGAGUGGGGUGAAUGCUAGUCUCCUCGGGUCAAGCUCACAAGCAUCUUCCAUGGGGUAGGGGAGUUGAGUGAGGGUCAUGUGGCUAGAGUUGGCAUCCACUGAGGGUGAGGGCUAUUUAGACUUUGGGAUCUAAUUAGGUUUUUGGGUCAUGUCUGACACUAAAUUUAGACUUUUGAGUGGGGUUGGGAUUGGGGCUACUUUGGGCCUGAGGUUUGAUUUGGAGUUAAGCUCUGAGUUCUGGCUAGAAUUAGCUUAGGGUAAAAGUUGGGCCUAAUCUGAGGUUGGGUUUAGGCUGGGGUUGGGGUUAAGGUUGGAAAUGGUCAGCCUGAGGGCUGACUGGGGGGCCUCACAGGUUAGGGGAAGAACCCGUGGUUCUGGGGGGAGGCUGUGAGUCUCUGUGGCUGGUGACGGUGGCGGGGGGAGGGCAUCAACCAGAGGGUGUGUACUCUUGGGAACGUUGGGUAGGCAAGGUAUUUUGGACAGCAAAUAAGACAAGGGUCAUCCCAGCCCAUCAGCUGAUUUGUAGCCUGCACUGAGACUAG